CCUACGUGCGGCAGCAGUGAGGCAUAUUGGUCAAUGGGCGCGAGCCUGAACCAGCCAAGUAGCGUGAAGGAUGACUGCCCUACGGGUUGUAAACUUCUUUUAUAAGGGAAUAAAGUGUGCCACGUGUGCCUUUUUGUAUGUACCAUAUGAAUAAGGAUCUGCUAACUCCGUGCCAGCAGCCGCGGUAAUACGGAGGAUCCGAGCGUUAUCCGGAUUUAUUGGGUUUAAAGGGAGCGUAGGUGGAUUGUUAAGUCAGUUGUGAAAGUUUGCGGCUCAAACGUAAAAUUGCAGUUGAAACUGGCAGCCUUGAGUACAGUAGAGGUAGGCGGAAUGCGUGGUGUAGCGGUGAAAUGCUUAGAUAUCACGAAGAACUCCGAUUGCGAAGGCAGCUUACUGGACUGCAACUGACACUGAGGCUCGAAAGUGUGGGUAUCAAACAGGAUUAGAUACCCCAGUAGUC
rnacentral:rRNA from 1 species